rnacentral:misc_RNA from 1 species
AACGCACGAGACCUGCGGACCUGCGGAGGGAUCAUUACCGAGUUAUACAACUCCCAAACCCACUGUGAACCUUACCUCAGUUGCCUCGGCGGGAACGCCCCGGCCGCCUGCCCCCGCGCCGGCGCCGGACCCAGGCGCCCGCCGCAGGGACCCCAAACUCUCUUGCAUUACGCCCAGCGGGCGGAAUUUCUUCUCUGAGUUGCACAAGCAAAAACAAAUGAAUCAAAACUUUCAACAAUG